rnacentral:lncRNA from 1 species
UAAUUUUUCAUAUCUCUGGUUGUAUACAAAGUAUAUUCACACCAAUUCAUGUCCUUAUACAUGUACUUUGGAUAAUAAUGAUCAUCACAUUCCACCAUCAUUUAUAACCCUAUGCCCCCUGCCUUUCCCUCCACCCCCUUUUCCCUAUCUAGAGUUCGUCUAUUCCUCCCAUGCUCCCUCUCCAUAUCCCACUAUGAAUCAGCCUCCCUAUAUCAAAGAAAACAUUUGGCAUUUGUUGUUUUGGGAUUGGCUAAAUUCACUUAGCAUUAUCUUUUCCAACGCCAUCCAUUUACCUGAAAAUGCCAUGAUUUUAUUCUCUUUUAGUGCUGAGUAAUAUUCCAUUGUGUAUAUAUGCCACAUUUUUUUUAUCCAUUCAUCUAUUGAAGGACAUCUAGGUUGGUUCCACAGUUUAGCUAUUGUGAACUGUGCUGCUAUAAACAUUGAUGUGGCUGUGUCCCUGUAGUAUGCUGUUUUUAAGUCCUUUGGGUAUAGACCCAGGAGAGGUAUAGUGGGUCAAAUGGUGGUUCCAUUCCCAAUUUUCCAAGGAAUCUCCAUACUACUUUCCAUAUUGGCUGCAUCAAUUUGCAGUCCCAGCAGCAGUGUAUGAGUGUACCUUUUCCCCACAUCCUCUUCAACACUUAUUGUUGUUUGUCUUCAUAAUAGCCAUUCUGACUGGAGUGAGAUGAAAUCUUAGAGUGGUUUUGAUAUGCAUUUUUCUAAUUGCUAGUGAUGAUGAACAUUUUUUCAUAUAUUUGUUGACUGAUUGUAUAUCUUCUCCUGAGAAGUGUCUGUUCAGGUCCUUGACUCAUUUAUUGAUUGGGUUAUUUGUUUUGUGUGUGUGUGUGCUUAGCUUUUUGAGUUCUUUAAAUAUCCUAGAGAUGAGUUCUCUAUCUGAUGUGUGAGGGGUAAAGAUUUGCUCCCAAGAUGUAGGCUCUCUAUUCACCUCACAGAUUGUUUCUUUUGCUAAGAAGAAACUUUUUAGUUUGAGUCCAUCAAGAAAUAAAAUCAAAAACCACUUUUACUUUUUGUAUAGGAAAGAACUCAGUGCUUAAAUGAAUCAUUUCUCAUUUUGGUUUCAUAAAGUUUUCUUGCUCAGUGUUUUUUUUCCUUUUCUUAGGUGGAGAGGAAUAAUAAAGAGGAGUAUUUGGAGCUAGAAUUUAUGAAUUAAGGACUGUACUCGGCCAUUAAUUUUUUUGUUUCCAUUAUUUCAUUAUAUAAAUUGUGAAUUAUUUGCUCAUAUUUUGUUAUGAUAUUUAUAUUUCUGUUAUUGAUUGCUUGCUGGUGUCCAGCCCUAGCGGGGUCUGGGGAGUCCUGAAGGAUGAGUGGUGUCGGCUAAACCAUGAGACAGGAGUCAUUUCGUUGGAGCAAUCUCCAUUAGAAAGAGUUCUAAUGCAGCUUUCUCUGUGUCAUCUUUUAUUACAAUUUUUCUCAUCAUUAUAGAUUCAGAAUACGUCAUUGAUUAUACAAUUUCAAAACUUUGCCAAGACAUAACGUUUCCUUAACCAUAAUUAGGGGUAUAGAAAAAUGUAACAUCAAUUUACAGUUUUCCAGGAUGUGACUUUUUAAUUAUCAAUCAUUAAUAAAAUGCGUUACUAAUUUACAUUUUUUCAGAUUUUCCCAAGAUGUACUAUUAACUAAUGCCAAACUACGUAACCAGACUAAGUCUCCUAACCUAUCAUUAACCUUUAAGUUUUAAAGUACACCUGCACUUUUAUUUCUAAUCUAAAAUUCCCAUCUAAAAAAGUCCCCUUAAGUCUUACACUUAAAAUAUCCUAAAGUUUAUAAGCCAUUCUUAAAGCAUAUCAGAAACCCAUACAGCUAAAAACUUAAGAAUUCUAAACCCAAGAAUCUAAAUAGAAUAAUAUUUCUAACAUUAUUCUAAAAAUAUGUCUUAUAAAGCUACUUUAAUUAAUUCCUAAAUUUAUUCUCAUAAAACUGGUUGAGCUACUUUCUCAAAGAGUUUCUUUGUUUCUCAGUCAAGGUGCACUAGUUCUUAUAUCUUUAUAAUCUUUCUCAAUAAAAAGUAAGUUCUAAACAUCAGUCCACUUUCCACCAAUAUUAAGUAUGCUCAUCAUAAAUCCCUAUGUGAAGUAAAAAAGGGUUUAUAGAAAUGAAAAGAAUGUAUCCUUAUAUGUCUUGACUUUCCUAAGUGUAUAACAUAAUUUUCCUAAAUCAAGAAUAAAACUACAUAUGGUGGGUUUUGUAUAAUGAUUAGGUUUUCUAAAAGGCCGGAAAUAUGGGCUUAGGUUCUAGUUGAUUUUAAUCAAUGUGGUGCCUAAAAUUCUUGUGACCUUUCAGAGAAUGAUUGCUGUCCAUUAUCAAUUUUGUCCCCAAUGUGCUGAGAUAGUAGAGCAGCUUUCUACUUUGUCCUUGACAUGCUGAGGGGUAGUAGAACAGCCUUCAAGGUAGUAGAACAGCCUUAUGGCAUUUAACAUACUCAUGUCUCCUGUCAAGAACAUGAGCAUGAAAAUGAGAAGUCCCAAUUACAUAUAAAAGGGUCUCAUGGUUUCGGUUUCCCACCAACCAGCACGGCUUUGCCAGCAUUCAUUCUCACUGUGGCCUUGUCAAGACAGUGGGAGAGUGGCUUUGCCAGCACUUAUUUUCACUAUGACCUUGUCAAGACAGUGAGAGACGGUGGUCGCUUUCACCAAUUGCUCAGCACUGUUUUUAUAUCAAGAGUCUGCCUCUGAUUUUGUUUCUUCUAGGGGGUUGCUCACCUUUUCCAUGGAGGCUUAUUUCUUGUGUGCUUGGUGUCAUGUUCCUUCUCCUGAUGGUUGCAACCAUUACAAUGGCUUUUUUUACUGCAAACUGUGAGUAACCAGAGAGUCCUCUAAAUUGUCUUCCCUUGGAAGCAUUAUUUCUUUCAUAUAAUAUGAUAAGCAGAAACUAGGUUCACAAUUUUACCUCAUCAAAAUUCUACCUUGACUGGGGUGGUAGUUCAGUGGUAGAACAUUUUCCUGGGAUGUGCUAGGCCUUCCUUAGGCUCAAUUCCCAGCAUCAGGGGGGGGGGGGGGGGGGGGAAACAAAAAACUUACCUUUAAAUUUUCUUUAAAAUUUCUGACUUAUGCUUAUAGAAUAUAGACUUUUAUUAUUUCAUUUUGAUGUAUUAAUUUAAAGGAAGAUCUAAUUAUGAUAUUGACUAUUUUUGUAGCAUUUUCUGAAAGAACAUCUUCCUCAAUGCAACAAAAAGGUAGGCAAUGAUUUUAUAGCUUGGCUUCUUAUACUGAUUUAAGAAGAAAAUACUUUUAUUAUUUGUAUUAGUUCCAUAAACAUAGAGCCUUUAUAGCAAGGUACUACAAUAUGUACUUACAGAAGUUAUAAAAUAUAGUCCCCCAAACAACUUUAAGAGAUAGAAGUUUAUGUAACUUUCAAAUAAAUUCAUUUGAGAAAUUCUUGUGAGAUCUCAUAGGUUUAUAGAUCAUAAAAUUAAAUAACAUAAGAACAAAUUUUUGAAAAGGCAGAAUUUAUGUUGAAAGGUCAAAAUUUCCAGCCAAAAAAAUUAAUCUGGUGAUGUAACAUGAAGGUAUUUCAGUCUGUAAAUGCUAUAAUGAUAUAGAAGUAAGAAAACUAAUGGUUCAGCUAUUUUUAUCAUCUUUACGUAAGAUUCCUAUGCUAUCAUAAAGUGUAUAUUCAUAAGGUGUGUUUUUAACAAAUAAUAAACAAAAUCAGAGUUUGUGUAUCUUCUCAGUGCAAUGACAAAGAAUCUUUGCCUAGGACCUUGCUGUCAUCCUUGUCCAAAGAAUUGGGUCUGGUUCCGAUGCAAUUGUUAUUACUUCUCCAAGGAACAGUUAUCUUGGAGGGAGAGUCAAAAUGUCUGCUUAUCUCUAAAUUCCAGCCUCCUAAAGAUAAACAGAGAUGAGAUGGUGAGUUUUUACCGAGUGUCAUAAUAAUAUGAGAGAUAGAUGAGAUUGAUUAACUAGAUUGAACUGAGGAAUCUUUAACAUUUGCCCAAAUUCAGCACUAGACCAAUAGCUGAAGGAUAAUACUCAUUUAUCUUUUGUUUCCAUUUUCACAUGCAAAAUAUAGGUCUAUGUGGUGGGUAAAAAAAGAGAAAAAUAUUUUGAAAUAAUAUUUGAUAUUACCUUUAUAAAAAAUUAUAAAUAAUAAAUCCAGAGAGAGCCAGAUAUUAUAAGGAAUACCUCAGUCAAAGAAAAGGAACCUGGUAUAUCCCAGCACUAAUAGGGUAUAGCCUUUGUAGCUCCAAAUCUAAUACCAUUGUGUGACCAGUACAUCCGAAUCUGGAACACUAUGUGAGAAGAUGGAGAAUGGGUCCUAAAUGUGCAUCAGCAUUGAAGUAAAGGUCCCAUUGUGUCAGUUUUCCUAAUAGAGAAGAUCCUUUUUAUUAUGCACCCAAAGAGGUAGAUAAUGGGGGUAAAAUUAAUCUCCAAGAAAUCUGUGAUGGUUUUGUUCUUUUAAAAAUCUCACUCCUUUCUUCUUCAAACCAACACUAUUAUUUUUACUCAAAAAAAUUUAUUUAUUUUCUGUAUCUCCUAUAAAAUAAGGAUGUUGUGUUUUUCACUGCUACUCAUCAGCAUCUAAAAUAGUCUUGUACUACAGGAUACAUUAAUGAUUUUGUGGGCUGGAGGAAUUGAAUAAAUAUACAUAUGAUGUUGAAUUUUUUAAAGGUUCUUUCAUGCAGUUGAUGAAAAAAUAAUAAUUUGUGUAUUUUUUUCUUACCACCAGAAUUUCUUCUCUUUGAACUCUUUCUUUUGGAUUGGAGCCUACUAUAAUGAAAUUUUCCAUCAGUGGGUAUGGGAAAAUGAUUCAGCUCUGCCCCCUUAUUUGUAAGUAUCUACCUGACAUAAAGGGCUUACUUUAAGUAUAAUGUUUGCCUCAAGGAACUGCAUUUAUCAAAAAGAACAUUAAUGAAGGAUACCUGGGCCUUAAUUUCAAGGACAUUUGAGUAACAGAGGAAAGAAACAGUGAUUUGAAACCAAUCUUAUAUACAGAAUUGUAGAUUCUAGAAGUAACUAACAUUUAAUUCCUUAAUCUGCUCUCCCUGAGAAUCUUUCUUAUAAACCACAUUUGUUUUCUAGUGCUUCCAUAACCAAGUACCACAGACUGGGUAGUAUAAACGGAGGACACAUAUUCUCUCAGAGGCUGAGAUCAAGAUGUCAGCAGGUUGAUUUCUUCUGAGGUCUCUCUUCCUUGACUUUCAGACAGCCAUCUUCUCCCUAUAUCUUUGCACUAUGCCCAGGUUUCCUUCUCUUGUGACACCAGUCAUAUUGAAUUAGGGCUCAUCAUAAUUAUUUCAUUUUACAUCACCCAUUCAAAGACCCUAUCUCCAAACUUUCUGAGGAUCUGAACAUUUGAGUUUUGGGGAAAUGCAGUUCAAUCCAUAAUACAUUGCCCUCUGACUCCCCAAACUUUCCAUCUUUCUCAUAUGCAAAAUACAUUCUCAACAACUCCAAAGGUCUUCAAUCAUUUCAGCAUCAACUUUAAGUCUACAAUCUCAUCUAACUGUCAUCAAAAUCAGAGCUGGUACAUGAAUCAUUCUGUGGCAAAAUUCCUCUCCUGCUGAGAAUUUAGGAAACCAAAUAAUUUAUUGUAUCUUAGGACAUAAGGGUGGGACAAAAAUAGGACAAAUAUUUCCAUUCCAAAAGGAAAAAUCAGACAGAAUAAAGGGGUCAUAAUGAAUCCCAAGUAAGUCUGAAAUUUAUUAGGGAAAAGUCCAUUAAAUUUUAAGAUUCAAGAAUAAUUCUUUUUGGUUCAUUGCAGUAUUCUAUCCUCUGGCCCCACCAGAAUGGUGGCCGUGAACCCUUGACCCUCCAUGGUGGUAUCCUAGACUGAUGUAGUUGAGGAGAUGGCCCUUCCCUUUGAAACUGAGGCAGUUUCCCUUUUCUGGAGCCAGGGAGGAGAUAGCCCACUCCUGGGCCUGUUCCUCUAUAAUCUAUCAACUUUUCAAUUUACUAAAAUUUUACUUGUAUGUGCCACUAAGUGACAGAAAUUAAAUUUUGUUAAAUUACAUAAAAAUCGUAAUUUUAAAAUUUGCAUAAAACAAAAGUUGUAUAUUCCCUUUGAGAUUGUAUAGAAUUCCAUUAUAACUGUGAUAUUUCUUCUGUUUUAGGUUUCAGCUUCCUAGACCUCAGAUGCAACAAGCCUGUCUAUCUUACAAAUCAAAAGAAAUUUAUUUUUCUGAAACAUGUAAAGAGAAACAAGGCUACAUUUGUAAGAAGCACCUUAUUUAUCCUACAAUGUCAUAAUAGAGAUGAAAGUUACUUUUUUUAAUCCCAUGUCCUGACAGCACUGCCAAGCUUUAUACAUAAAAUAAUGUAAAUUUAUAUCUUUGAUAUAAUAAAAAUGAUAUCUAUACAAAUACAUUCCAGUGUCACUAAAGUAUACUAUAAUUUUGUUGAGCAGAUAGUUUUAUUUACAUGACUUUUCAUGAAAUAACACUGAUAGUAUUUAGGAGAAUAUUCAUUUUAUGAAACUUAUAAUAAAUGAUUUCUGAAUUAAGCAGUGAGAUAAGGUUAGAAUGUUGAAUAGUAAAGAUCCUAUGUUAUAUAUAGUUAUAUGAUUGUUACUAUCAUUGUACAUCGUGUGUGUGUGUAUGUGUGUGUACAUACAUGCAUGGCCUAUAAAAUUAUUAAAAUUUAGUGUUAAGCAAUAGCAAAGAUUUUAUAUGGAAAGAAAAACUGUAUGAUUACAAAAGAAAUAGAAU